GAAAAGUUUAAAAAUAAUUGCUACAUGUGUGGACAACUUAAAACAACGGAUAAGGACCUGGCAGAGGUGAACUGAGACAUUUUGCCUGCCAAGUUCAGACCUUCAGGUUUGUGUGUUUUCUCUGCACUAAAUGAUUACUAACACCUAAAGCAGAGGGCUAUAUUUCUUCUGACAGCUUUAUAUGUCAGUUAUGUCUACUGCUGCAGGAAAAACAGUAAAAUUCAUGCCAAUGUAUAGGCCUUGUUUUGUUCCUCUGCACAGGAGAAAAUUUCACUUACCACCCUGAGGGAUUUAAUUCAUAUUUUAAAGAUAUCAACAUCUCACAGACAGAAAAAUGACUGCUAUAUAACAUUAAUUUUGAAUGCUGGUGUUGCUUUGACAUAUAAGUGCUUUUGAACUUGUUCUGAAGAAGGGACUAAGCAUGAAUGUAAGGAAAAAAUAUGACUACCCCAAACUAAGCGGGGAAGUAAAGUCUGGCAAGUUUGUCACAGCCACCAAGUAUUAAAAG